GGACGGGCAUUCAGACGCGAGUCUGUUUGUCCAGAAAAGGGCCGGACAAACAGAGAAUGCCCUGUGUUUGCAGUUCAUGUUGGUUUUGGCAGUGUCCCUCAGCCUCUUUCUCAGAAAGAAAACAAACGUUGGAAGAGGUUUGCUAACACGCUGGAACAUGAAAGUCCUAGGGAGAGAGGGAAACAGCAAGUUGAAGCAGGAAGGUGGAUCCUUAUUUGGAAGGAAGGGAGCUGCCCAGAGUUCAACAUCCCAUCUGGACACAAGGAAAAUCUGAAGUAGUGGAGGACACCAGGUAAGAGGAAUAUGUCUCCUCUCAUUUCACCACUGAUAAGGAGAAGCAAUAUGUCUACAGUCACCUCAGAUUUGAGACAGAACUUCAAUCCAUUGCUAUUGAACAUCAGAAUGCCUGUCUUUCCGAGAAUUUGAAGACCGUAUUUUCAAAGAAUGAACUUUGUAAUGAAUUAUUUCCUGAUCAUGAUCUGUGAAAAGAAGAUUCUCUGACAAAUUUAAUAUUGGUAAACCUUCCUAUAAUGCCCUUGUCAUAAUAACUUUAGUACUCUAAUGUCUAGAAGAGUCUGAGAAAUCUUAGAAUAAAGGGACUCUAUUUUUUUCAACCAAGUGGAGGUAGAUAGCAUAAUGGUUAUGCAAAGAGACUCUCAUGCUUGAGGUUCCAGAGUCCCAGGUUCAAUGUCCUGAAACACCAAUAGCCAGAGCUGAGCAGUGCUCUGGUAAAAAAAAAAAAAAGUUCCAAUCUAUUAUUUGGCAUAUUAAAUUAAUCGUCCAUA